CCUACGGGAGGCAGCAGUGGGGAAUCUUGCGCAAUGGGCGAAAGCCUGACGCAGCCAUGCCGCGUGAAUGAUGAAGGUCUUAGGAUUGUAAAAUUCUUUCACCGGGGACGAUAAUGACGGUACCCGGAGAAGAAGCCCCGGCUAACUUCGUGCCAGCAGCCGCGGUAAUACGAAGGGGGCUAGCGUUGCUCGGAAUUACUGGGCGUAAAGGGAGCGUAGGCGGAUAGUUUAGUCAGAGGUGAAAGCCCAGGGCUCAACCUUGGAAUUGCCUUUGAUACUGGCUAUCUUGAGUGUGGGAGAGGUAUGUGGAACUCCGAGUGUAGAGGUGAAAUUCGUAGAUAUUCGGAAGAACACCAGUGGCGAAGGCGACAUACUGGCCCAUUACUGACGCUGAGGCUCGAAAGCGUGGGGAGCAAACAGGAUUAGAUACCCUGGUAGUCCACGCUGUAAACGAUGAGUGCUAGUUGUCGGCAGGCAUGCCUGUCGGUGACGCAGCUAACGCAUUAAGCACUCCGCCUGGGGAGUACGGCCGCAAGAUUAAAACUUAAAGGAAUUGACGG
rnacentral:rRNA from 1 species